GCCGGGCAUGGUGGUGCAUGCCUGUAGUCCCAGCUACUUGGGAGGCUGAGGCAGGAGGAUCGCUUGAGCCCAGGAGUUUGCGGUUGCUGUGAGCUAGGCUGACGCCACGGCACUCACUGUAGCCUGGGCAACACAGUGAGACUCUGUCUCAAAAAAUAAAUUAGCCGGGUGUGGUGGCAUCUGCUUGCAGUUGUAGCUACUGGGAAGGCUAAGAUAGGAAGAUCCCUUAAGCCCAGGAGUUGGAGGCUGCAGUGAGCUAGGGUCAUGCCACUGCACUCUAGCCUGAGCAACAGAACAAGAUCUUGUCUCU
rnacentral:sRNA from 1 species